AGUAAACGGCGGCCGUAACAAUAACGGUCCUAAGGUAGCGAAAUUCCUUGUCGGGUAAGUUCCGACCCGCACGAAAGGCGUAAUGAUUUGGGCACUGUCUCAACGAGAGACUCGGUGAAAUUUUAGUACCUGUGAAGAUGCAGGUUACCCGCGACAGGACGGAAAGACCCCAUGGAGCUUUACUGCAGUUUGAUAUUGAGUGUCUGUGCCACAUGUACAGGAUAGGUAGGAGCCUAUGAGAUCGGGACGCCAGUUUCGAUGGAGGCGCUGUUGGGAUACUACCCUUGUGUUAUGGCCACUCUAACCCGGAUAGGUGAUCCCUAUCGGAGACAGUGUCUGACGGGCAGUUUGACUGGGGCGGUCGCCUCCUAAAAGGUAACGGAGGCGCCCAAAGGUUCCCUCAGCCUGGUUGGCAAUCAGGUGUUGAGUGUAAGUGCACAAGGGAGCUUGACUGUGAGACUGGCAGGUCGAGCAGGGACGAAAGUCG
rnacentral:rRNA from 1 species